rnacentral:rRNA from 1 species
AAGGAAUAUUGCUCAAUGGGAGAAAUCCUGAAGCAGCAACGCCGCGUGGAGGAUGAAGGGUCUAUGACUUGUAAACUCCUGUAAAGAAGGAAAAAAUUCCCAUUAGAUGGAGAUGAUGGUACUUCUGGAGUAAGCCCCGGCUAACUACGUGCCAGCAGCCGCGGUAAUACGUAGGGGGCAAGCGUUGUCCGGAUUUACUGGGUGUAAAGGGUGCUCAGGCGGAUUUGUAAGUCAGAGGUGAAAUCUUACAGCUUAACUGUGAAACUGCCUUUGAUACUGCAAGCCUAGAGUAUGGAAGAGAGUGAUGGAAUAUCUGGUGUAGCAGUGAAAUGCGUAGAUAUCAGAUAGAACACCAAUGGCGAAGGAAGUCACUUGAUCCAUUACUGACGCUAAAGCACGAAAGCGUGGGUAGCAAACA